rnacentral:lncRNA from 1 species
UGGGUACAUAGUUGUGUAUUUUUAGUUGUGGGUCCUUCUAGUUGUGGUAUGUGGGAUGCCGCCUCGGCAUGGCCUGAUGAGCAGUGUCAUGUCCGCGCCCAGGACUGGAACUGGCGAAACCCUGGGCUGCCAAGCAGAGAUCUUGAACUUAACCACUCGGCCACGGGGCCGGCCCCUAGAUUUGACUUUCUAACUUUCACUUCUUUUAAUCAUGGGCAAGCUGCUUAACUUUGUGAAACUUCAGCUUCUCUCUCUUUCUCUCCCUCUCUCUUUCAAUCUGUGUUUGUGUGUGUAGUGUGUGUCUUCAUUAGGAAGUAUGAAUAAUAUAAUAUAAAUUACAGUGCUUUAAAAAAAUCAUUUUACGAACAGUAAAUAUUUUUUUGAAUCCAUUUUCUCUACCAAGCUUUAUGGAGACACAAAAAUGAGAAUUUCAAAAUCUGUGAAUUCAAGGAAAUCCCUCAUGAGACAAAGCAGUUUGAAGGAUUUGGAUGGGCACUAACUGAAGGAAGCAGUCGAAAUGCUAAAACAUUGGGCAGAGAAGAUAAGAGACCUUGGGAACCCCCAUGCCAAAACUUCUGCAAGAAACAGCAAUUCAGCAAGCCCUGCAAUGAGUUUAGUGUUAUUCUCCUGAAGCUGCUUUUAUGUCAGCAAGAUGUUAAAGCUGUUUGAUGGACGACAUGUCAGAGAAGAGAAGAUUCUUGGGGCCUUGUUUUCUACAAUCAAGAGCAGCUGUAAGAUUCUUUAGAAGUAAUUUUUUUCACACGGGCCAUACAGCUCUCCCAUUGUCUCCUGGAAAUCUCCGUGAGUAGAGAGUUGACUUGCUCCAGCUCCGUUCCAUUAGGAAGGAAGGUUAGAGGAAAACCUCAGGAUGACUGCCCGCGGGAGAAGGAGAGAUCAGAAAAAAGAACCUGAAACUCUGCAGGAACAAUCAGGGACCUUGGACAAAAAUGCUUCUGGGUGGCCAAGGAUGUGACAAUUUUCCUUAACUCACCUAGGAGGCAUUCAAAAGAAAUUUGUAGACUUUAUAAAAGAGAUUCAGGAAAUAUAUACUUUAUCCUAAAAGAACAAAUUUGUUAAAAUACUGUGUUAUUCUGAUAUGAAGAGGUAUUAAGAAAAGCUAUCUUAACAUGA